rnacentral:rRNA from 1 species
UUGAAAGGGAAACGAUUGAAGUCAGUCGUACCGGCGGGUAAUCAGCCUUUCGGGUAUGAUUCUGUGGAGCGUGAGGAGUUAAACGCCUUCAUGCCUGCAUAUUCGUGCUCUUGGGUGUACUUGCUCGUGUGGUUGGUUAACAUCAAUUCCGGUUAUCAUAAAAUGGCUGGAGGAAUGUAGCUUCGAUCUCGUAUUGAAGUGUUAUAGCCUUCGGCAGAUGUGAUGAUUGGGAUUGAGGAUUGCAACGGAUACCCUUCGGGGCUACCUGUCUGAUUUCUGAUCGUUGCUCUGGUGCCGAAAGCGUGCUUAUAGUAGUCAAAGUCGAUGGUCAAUAGGUUAGAAUGGGUUAAAUUCGUUAAGGAUGUUGACGUA